rnacentral:rRNA from 1 species
AAAUGAAUUGACGGGGGCCCGCACAAGCGGAGGAACAUGUGGUUUAAUUCGAUGAUACGCGAGGAACCUUACCCGGGCUCGAACGGUGCAUGUAUACAUCAGAGAUGGUGUAGCUAUUUAUAGCAUGUAUCGAGGUGCUGCAUGGUUGUCGUCAGCUCGUGCCGUGAGGUGUCGGCUUAAGUGCCAUAACGAGCGCAACCCUUGUCGUUAGUUACCAUCAGGUCAUGCUGGGUACUUUAGCGAGACUGCCGCCGUAAGGUGUGAGGAGGGUGGGGAUGACGUCAAAUCAGCACGGCCCUUAUGUCCGGGGCGACACACGUGUUACAAUGGUAUUUACAGAGGGCUGCUUUACGGCGACGUAUUGCCAAUCUCUAAAAUUUAUCUCAGUUCGGAUCGGAGUCUGCAACUCGACUCCGUGAAGUUGGAUUCGCUAGUAAUCGCGCAUCAGCCACGGCGCGGUGAAUACGUUCCCGGGCCUUGUACACACCGCCCGU